rnacentral:lncRNA from 1 species
ACCGGAAGUGUCGCGUUGCCAUGGCGAGGAUGGGCGCGGGGCCCGCCCCCGUGGAGCCUGGAGCAGCGCUGGGCCCCAGGGUCGGCCGGGCAGGGUCUGGGAAGCGGCUAGGCGGGCUCCAGAUGAGACAGCCGGCAGUUGGUCUUACUACACACACCAUUGGCUGA